rnacentral:tRNA from 1 species
GGCUGCGUGGUGUAAUGGUUGCACACUCUCACAAAUAAUGAGAGAGGGGCGGAGUUCGAUUCCCGCCGUGGCCA